rnacentral:rRNA from 1 species
CAUCAUACUGUGAACUGCGAAUGGCUCAUUAAAUCAGUUAUCGUUUAUUUGAUAGUACCUUUACCUGGAUAACCGUGGUAAUUCUAGAGCUAAUACAUGCUAAAAAUCCCGACUUCGGAAGGGAUGUAUUUAUUAGAUAAAAAACCAAUGCCCUCUGGGCUCCUUGGUGAUUCAUAAUAACUUAACGAAUCGCAUGGCCUUGCGCCGGCGAUGGUUCAUUCAAAUUUCUGCCCUAUCAACUUUCGAUGGUAGAGUAGUGGUCUACCAUGGUCUCAACGGGUAACGGGGAAUUAGGGUUCUAUUCCGGAGAGGGAGCCUGAGAAACGGCUACCACAUCCAAGGAAGGCAGCAGGCGCGCAAAUUACCCAAUCCCAAUUCGGGGAGGUAGUGACAAUAAAUACUGAUACAGGGCUCUUUUGGGUCUUGUAAUUGGAAUGAGUACAAUCUAAAUCCCUUAACGAGGAACAAUUGGAGGGCAAGUCUGGUGCCAGCAGCCGCGGUAAUUCCAGCUCCAAUAGCGUAUAUUAAAGUUGUUGCCGUUAAAAAGCUCGUAGUUGAACCUUGGGCCUGGCUGAUCUGUCCUCCUAAUCGAGCGCACGGAUUCGGUCGGGCCUUUCCUUCUGGGGAUCCCGAUGCCCUUCACUGGGUGUCGUGGGGAACCAGGACUUUUACCUUGAAAAAAUUAGAGUGUUCAAAGCAGGCCUUUGCUCGAAUACAUUAGCAUGGAAUAAUAGAAUAGGACAGAGGUUCUAUUUUGUUGGUUUCUAGGACCGCUGUAAUGAUUAAUAGGGAUAGUCGGGGGCGUCCGUAUUCAAUUGUCAGAGGUGAAAUUCUUGGAUUUAUUGAAGACGAACUACUGCGAAAGCAUUCGCCAAGGAUGUUUUCAUUAAUCAGUGAACGAAAGUUAGGGGAUCGAAGACGAUCAGAUACCGUCGUAGUCUUAACCAUAAACUAUGCCGACUAGGGAUCGGACGAGUGGUUUUUUUAUGCCCCGUUCGGCACCUUACGAGAAA